GCGGUGCCGUCCCGGGCUCAGAGAAGCGCCCCCCUCCGCCAGUGCCUAGCAGGACCUCAGCCUCUCGCGCCCGGCCCCCAACCCCAGGAAUUUAACCCCUACCCCGCCGACGGCCGCGUCAGAGCGCCGCAUUCCCAGCCCGCAAGGACCCAGAGAAGGGGUCGGGGAGACCCAGAGAGGGGUCACCUCAGCUGGAUGACAACAGAGCCUGGAAGAAACAUGGAGUUGGCAGGGGAAGGAAGACCAAACACCAUCAAUGGUUCUCUGCGUAGGUGAACGUUUCUGCCUGAAGUUCUCUCUAGCUCCACCUCGUGCCCUACCACUAAUACUCGGCCAGAAGACGAAAACAAGCCACAGACAGAUGAGAUGAAGUCUCUUCACUGGCUGGGUCAGCAAGGAGACUCAACGUCUCCUUUUCCAUUUCAGAAAGACUAUUUGAAGUCUGGAUGAAUAAAGAAGGAUGAAACAUGCACAGACUCAAACUUAGACUAAGUAUAUAUUUUAAUUUCUACAAGGCCCCCCUUUCCAGUUUUAGGGAAAUUUAAAUGAAGUGUAUACAAAUCAGACAUUACCAAUAUGUACAAAAGUAUUUUCUACAGUUUUUGAACAAUACCAGCUAUAUCAUAUUUCAUUUGCAGUAAACAGGACAUUACAAAAAGAGUCCAAUAAUGCAUUGUCUAUUAAGAAGCACAAUACACAUAAUUCAAUUUUAUUAAAAAAUAAUUUAAAAUACAGAACAAUCCCCUUUAUGAAGAAAAGCUAUUUCUGUAGUCCAUUCAGUAAACACACAAGUUGAAUGCUGCAGCUGAGGGCUGUUCUUUUCCAUGGAGAAAACAAACGAGGCUUCUAGGGCCCACCUUUUCAGGGUAAAAUUCUACCCACAGCACAACAGGCGAAGUUAUUGCCUGUGGGAGGCAGAAUUCUAAAAUGUCCCUCCCCCUAUUUCAUGUCCCAAUCCCAGGAACCUGUAAAUGUGAUACCACUUCUGUGACUAUGUUCUGUGGCACAGCUGACCUUAAUAUAGGGAGACUAUCUCAGUGGGCUUGAUCAAAUCACACGAACCUUAAAACAGAGGAGGAAGGCAGAGAGACCUGAAGCAUGAGAAGAAGGCCUCGAUGGGCCAUUGCUGGUUUGAAGACGGAGGGAAGCACACAAGAAGGAAUGUGAGCAGCCUUAAGGAGCCGAGAAAGAGGACCCCGGCUGACAGCCAGCAAGGAACUGAAUACUGCUAACAACCUGAAUGAACUUGGAAGCAGAUUCUUUCCCAGAGCCUCCAUAAAGGAAUGCUGCCCUGCUGACCCUUGAUUUCAGCCUUGUGAGACCCUGAGCAGAGAAUCCAGCCAUACUGUGCUGGACUCAGGAGCUACAGAACUGUAAGCUAAGAAACGAGUGCUGCUUUAAGCUGCAAAGUUUGGGGUCAUUUGUUACACAGCAGUAGAAAACGAAUACACUGACCAAAGGUAACUCUUCUUAACGUAAUUAGAUUUGGCAGUUUUUGUUUGGGUUCUAAAUGCAGUUUCUUUCCACUGCGUAUUAUUAAAGCAAUAUUCUCCUCUGCA